GGGAAUCUACCUCUUUGUGGGGAAUAACGCUCCGAAAGGAGUGGUAAUACCGCAUGAGAUCCAUGGCUGGGAUGCUGUGGAUGAAACCUGGGGACCGCAAGGCCUGGGCCAAGGAGAGGAUCCUGCGUCUGAUUAGCUAGUUGGUGAGGUAAUGGCCCACCAAGGCGACGAUCAGUAGCCGGCCUGAGAGGGUGAUCGGCCACACUGGAACUGAGACACGGUCCAGACUCCUACGGGAGGCAGCAGUGGGGAAUUUUGCGCAAUGGGCGAAAGCCUGACGCAGCAACGCCGCGUGGGUGAUGAAGGUCUUCGGAUCGUAAAACCCUGUCGUCGGGGACGAAGGUGGAGGGGUUAAUAGCCUCUUUGCUUGACGGUACCCGGAGAGGAAGCCCCGGCUAACUCUGUGCCAGCAGCCGCGGUAAUACAGAGGGGGCAAGCGUUAUUCGGAAUUAUUGGGCGUAAAGGGCGCGUAGGCGGCUUUUUAAGUGAGAUGUGUAAUCCCUGAGCUCAACUUGGGAACUGCAUCUCAUACUGGGAGGCUAGAGUACUGGAGAGGGUGGUAGAAUUCCACGUGUAGCGGUGAAAUGCGUAGAGAUGUGGAGGAAUACCAGUGGCGAAGGCGGCCACCUGGACAGUAACUGACGCUGAGGCGCGAAAGUGUGGGUAGCAAACAGGAUUAGAUACCCUGG
rnacentral:rRNA from 1 species